rnacentral:tRNA from 3 species
GCCGGGGUGGCGAAAUUGGUAGACGCAUCAGACUCAAAAUCUGACGGGGGCGACCCCAUGCCGGUUCGAGUCCGGCCCUCGGUACCA